CCCAAAAAUGAAUAAACGUUAAAAAAAAAUAGGCAAUGACUUAUGUGACAAGUGUCAGUAGAGCCUGAGUAGAACUGAGCCCGAGAUGAAAAGAGACACUUAAGAGCAAGAAAAGAGCCCACCCCCCCUCAAAAAAAAACAUGGGUGGGGGAGCACCAGCCCCUGCAGCUCGCUGGCCCUAACCCUGACAGCGCCUGUUACUUUAAGACGUUUGAAACUGCUAUGAGGAUAUCGUAUUUGUUGGGAACACGCUCUCUGAGAAAUCUUGCUCUGGACACUCGAAGACAGUUGAUCACGAUCUACGUAGAACUCGACGUUGUCAAAACGACAAGUUAAAACAUCGAAGGGAAGAAUCCUCAAGGCUGGAAAGUAUACAGUCGGCGGCUCCUUCUGGGGGACGAAAACGUGGUGUGACAUUUGUGCAACUAUUUUAAAAUGUAGUCAGGGAUUUCCGAACCCAACAUUUGGGAGCAAUGACUGAGUCUUGGAAAUGCUCUCUACAGUGAUAGGAACCUCUAGAGAUCUGAGGGAUGCUGGGGCCCAGGCCUCCCCGGAGAAGGGUGCUGUGCAGAACGAAGACGUGCCAUGGGCCUCUCCCAGUUAGGAGAGCAUUGGCAAUGGAGUGUUGGUCUGAAGGCAGGUGCCUAUAAUAUUAGGCAUGGUUGUCACUGAGGGAGACUCUAGCUAGAAAUCAAAUCUACUAGGGGGUGCGGUUCCGUAUGGCGGCAGGUGACAAGCAGAGGUACCGGUAAAUAUUUAACAACCAGCUCUUUGGAAAAAUAUACACGUGUGUUUGGUAAGUUAUACUGACAUAAAGGAUGUAUAGCACACAAUUUAUAAGUAAUACUAAUAUACACAAUCCUCCUCGUUGUAUAUUUCACAUAGUUGUUUGAUUCUCACAGAAAGUUUUCUUGUUCCUGCCAAAUUCUCGUAUCACAGUCCAGCUCUGGUUGUAACUCAGUCAUCAUUUGGUAAGUGGAGUUGCAGCCUAAACCACUGUUUCUCCGCUAAAUUUGUUGUCAGGAAUUCUGAGAGGUGAUCUACUGUUAAACUGUCUCUCCGCCUUGUAAAAUUGUAUUAAUUAAACUAAAAUCUCUCUCA